rnacentral:rRNA from 1 species
GAUGAACGCUAGCGGCAGGCCUAAUACAUGCAAGACGAACGGUAAGUUGAGUAGCAAUACUUAGCCAAGAGUGUCGUACGGGUGCGUAACACGUAUGCAACCUACCCUAUACAGGAGGAUAGCCUAGGGAAACCUGGAUUAACCCUUCAUAGUAUUAUUGGAUGGCAUCAUUUGAUAAUUAAAACUGAGGUGGUAUAGGAUGGGCAUGCGUCUGAUUAGUUAGUUGGCGGGGUAAUGGCCCACCAAGACGAUGAUCAGUAGGGGUUCUGAGAGGAAGAUCCCCCACACUGGCCCUGAGAUACGGGCCAGACUCCUACGGGAGGCAGCAGUAGGGAAUAUUGGUCAAUGGAUGCAAGUCUGAACCAGCCAUGCCGCGUGCAGGAAGAAGGCCUUCUGGGUUGUAAACUGCUUUUGCCAGGGGAUAAAAUUUCCAUGCGUGGAAAACUGAAGGUACCUGGUGAAUAAGCCACGGCUAAACUACGUGCCAGCAGCCGCGGU